rnacentral:lncRNA from 1 species
ACCAUUUUUAUGCUUAUAUAAACUCCCACAUGCUUGGAAAUCAAAAACAUAAAAAUCAAUAGCAGAAUAGCAGAAGCAAAGCUUCAAGUAUGAUGGCUCUUUUGUAUUUGGCUUUGCUAAUUCUUCUGUUUCUGUUCUCUCUUAAGCUCUUCUUCAAAACAAGAACAUUCAGAAACCUUCCACCAGGGCCAUUCUCUUACCCUAUAGUCGGAAAUCUCUUGCAACUCAAACAGCCUUUCCACCGCACUUUCACUCAAUUGUCGCAAAAAUACGGCCAAGUCUUCUCUCUCUGGUUCGGUUCCCGUCUCGUGGUGGUCGUUUGUUCACAGUCUGCGGUGCAAGAAUGCUGUACCAAAAACGACAUCGUCUUGGCCAACCGACCUCACUUUCUCUUUGGCAAGUACAUCAGCUACGACAACAGCACCAUCCUUCACUCCUCCUACGGCGACCAUUGGCGCCAUCUUCGCCGCAUCUUAGCGCUGGAAGUUGUCUCAACCAACCGUUUAAACUCCUUCUACCAUGUUCGUAGGGGCGAGAUCAUGAGGCUCGUGCAAAAGCUCGCUCACCUUUCACACAACGACUUCACCAAAGUGGAUCUUAAAUCCAUGUCAGUUCUUUAUCAAACAUCCUUACACUAUGUUUUAUUAAAUUAUACAUUACUCUUAUAUUAGCAUUAUGUCUAAAUAACAUUUUUAUAUUAAGGUUCAUGGAAACGGCGUUUAACACCAUGACGAGAAUAGUGGCGGGAAAGAGAUUAUUCGGCGACGAUUGUGACGUGAAUGAUGUGCAGAAAGCAAAGCAGUUCCAAGAUAUCCUUAAAGAGUUAGUGACAUUAGCCGGAGUAAAUAACCGCGGAGACUUCUUGCCUUUUGUGAGGUUGUUUGAUUUUGAUAAUUUAGAGAAAAGGUUAAAGGGGAUUGGUAAGAGAACCGAUGCAUUCUUACAAGAACUCAUUGACGAACAUCGUAGUACUGGAAAUUACAGUGGCAAUACUAUGAUAGCUCAUCUUCUUGCUCUACAACGAUCACAACCUGAACAAUACACCGAUCAAAUCAUCAAAGGACUUUCUCUGGUAAUUAGUUAUUUCUUUGUUUAGAGUAAAAACAAAAGAACCUAAAAAGAAGGAUCUGUUUCCUUAUGUGGUAUAUUGAUACUUUCUUUUUUUUUGGAUUUUACAGAGCUUGCUACUUGCUGGAACAGAUACAUCAGCUUUAACUUUAGAAUGGGCAAUGGCUAAUUUAUUAAACCAUCCAGAAGUUGUAAAGAAGGCAAAAAAUGAUAUAGACGCUGAAGUUGGAGCAGAUCGUCUUGUAGAGGAAUCUGACAUGUCAAAACUCCCUUACAUUCAAUGCAUUGUUUACGAGACUCUUCGAUUGCACCCUGCAGCUCCAAUUUGGUCACCACAUUUGUCUUCAGAAGACUGCAACAUAGGAAAAUAUAAUCUCCCAAAAGACACAAUUGUGUUAGUGAAUGCUUGGGCUGUUCAUACAGAUCCAAAAGUGUGGAGUGAUCCAACACAUUUUAAGCCAGAAAGGUUUGAGGAUGAAAGUGAAGUGAGUAGGUUACUUUCAUUUGGGUUAGGGAGAAGGGCUUGUCCUGGAUCAAACCUAGCUCAACGUACAGUGAGUUUAUCUGUGGCCUUAUUGCUUCAAUGCUUUGAGUGGAAACGAAUUAGUGACGAAAAAGUUGAUAUGUCUGAAGGAAAAGGGAUUACUAUAUCAAGAACACAACCUUUGGAAGUUAUGUGCCAACUUCGUCAAACACCAGCAGCAGCAACAAUAAAGGAUAUGUACUGAAGGAUGGUGUUAUUUAAAGAAUAAACAUAAUGUAAUGUGUGGAAAAUAAAUAUGUCUGCAUAGACAAUAUGUGAUGAGUAUGUUAUGUGUUGAAGAUAAGUAUGUAUUUCUAUUGAAUGUGAUGAGUUAUAACUUAUAAGUUCUAGUUUUACAAUAAAUUCUUAUUUUCUUUAUAUUAUUUAAUGUAAUAGUAAUCUUUUAUAAAUAUGAGAUUAUAAUUUAAGGUUUCUUAUUAUAAUAGAAAUUUUGAUAAUUAAAAAUAAGUCUCAUAAUUUUAAUUUAAUAUAAUUUAAUUAUGGAUUAUUAGGGGUAAGAUAUUAAUACUCCAAAUAAAUUUUUACUAUAAAAAAAUAAUUAAAUAAAAACUAAUUUUAAAGAUUAAAAAUAAUUAGUUACUAUAUUAAUUAAGUUAUAUACUAAUUUAUAAAAUAAAAAAAUAUUAAUAUCUAAAUUAAUUUGUAUUAUUAAUUAAAAAUUAUAAACUAGUUUCUAAAUUAGUAUAUAACAUUGCUUACCAAGAUUUUAACUCUAAUUAUUUUAGAUUCUAAAUUAGUCACUUAUUUUUAUUUAAUUAUUUUUUUAGUGUUCUCUUGCCUCUCUCUAUAUAUAUUUAUUUAUUUGAUUAAACUAAUUUAUGAGUAUAAUCAAUUAUGAUAUUCUUAUAAUCAAUUAUCUUCUUCCUCCACUCCUUCUAAAUCAAAUUACAUGCAAAUAUUCAAGGACAUUUAGACUUUUUCAUCAUGGAAGACAUGACUUUUCUUGUCUUUCUUCACAUUACACAGAAACCAUCACAUCUCUUUUUUUCAUAAACUCUUGCUUUUCUUCACCACAUAUCUGAAGAUAAAAAAAAUAUCACCUCUUGCAAAUCCAUCUUCGUCCACACUAAAUCAGUGAAAACAAAACAAACACAACGUUAAUUCUAACUUCAUGUCUCAAAACUAUGGUCCCCACCAAUUGAUACACAAACAAAAGAAAGUAAAUAAAACAAAGAAAUAGUAGAUCCUUACUUAUAAUAUGAUUAAAAUAAAUAAUACAUUGAGUUAUUAAGUGAGAGUAAUUUUUUAAUAACAUUAAACAAUGGACACUCUUUGUUUCACCAAAUCGUGGCCCCACAACCAUUAAAAUAAAACUCAUUUUACUAAAAAAAGAAAGAAAUGAAUCAAAGGCACCUAAAUUUGCAUACCAAAUGCAUCCAAGAAAUCAGAUACGGAUGAAAAAUAUUCUUAGACAACCAAGUUUCUGUACUUGGAGAGGAUGCUUAGGGGGACAAUUUUGAAGUGCCAAAAAAGAGAAAAACAAGAAAAUUGAAAAUCUUGACAUGACAGAAAAUUAAUAUGGACGAAAUAAAACUGCAAAGUUAAAAACUCAUUCUUUCAUAUUUAAAACAAAAUCAUUUUAAUAUUUUUUUUAAACAUUUCUUUUCUGCAUUAGAAUUUUUCAAAUCAUACAAAAGAUUAAAAGUUACCUUAUCAUCUUGAGUUCUUACUUUAAGAUUUUCCUUAUCAGUAUCAAUUAUAAUUCUAGGAGAUUCACAGAAAAUGUAAACUUGUCCACCUUAACGAGAACAUUUUCAACCAAACCAUAUGGAUAGUAGGUUACUCUAUUAGCUAACUGUAAUGUCAUCUUGGUGGGUUUAAUCUUCAAAUCACCUAAUUUCUCCAACAUUGCCAAAGGAAUUAGAUUUAUGCUUGCCCCCAAAUCUAGUAAGACCUUGUCCACAAAUAAAGCACAUAUAGACACAGGAAGAAUAAAGCUUCUUAGGUCCUUGCAUUUUUUAGGCAAACCCUUUUUAGUAAUGGCACAACAUGUAGCCUCCACCUUUAUAUUUCUCUCUUCAAUAUAACUUCUAUUCUUCAUAAAUCUCUCAAAUGUUGAAUUUUGUUUUAGAUUUUCUGCAAAACAACUUCAAAUUCUUUCCUUCUUUUUUUUUUGAAGGAGCAUGAGGAUAUGAUAAAUAUUUUUCAAGAACACCUCUCUCCUUAUUUUCACUUUAUCUUUUCCUCCUCACUUCUUUUCUUCUCUCUCCCCCUCAGUCUCAUUUUCCCUUUCUUUUUCAACCACUACAUUAUUACCAUCCUUUUCUCCUGCUAUUCUACCACUUUCAUAGGCAAUUUUAUUGCAAUGCUCUUUUGGGUUGCAACAUCUAGGAACAUCUUAGUAUCAGAUCUGAGACCAUUAAGAAAUAUGCUCAUUUGAGCAAUAUCUUCAAACCCAUGAUUUGGACAUUUUCCCAACAUCAUUUUGAAUCUCUCCCAUGUCUCACUAAAAGCUUCAUCUACUUCUUUUCUGAAUAUAGAUAUUUCGGACUUUGCUUCGAUGUAGCGAGAUAUUGGAAAAAAUCUUUGCAUAAAUUUUUCCUCUACAUCCUUCCAGCUAGUGAGGCUCUAAUUUGGAUGAGAUUUGAGUCCUUCUUUAGCCUUUCCUACCAAUGAAAAAGGAAACAAUCGCAUAUAAACAUUUUCAAUAUCACCUGAUUGAAAACCCAUUGUUCCCACCAAUUCAUAAAAUGUGGCCAAAUGUGUAUAUGGACCCUCAUGAUUCAUCGUUGUAAAUUGAUGGGUACUGAUGAGACUAAGGAAAACAGGUUUCAUCUCCAAGGCCCUGGUGGUAGCAGGUAUUGCAAUACUAGAAAAAUGCCUUGGGCACUACUGCACGGCAUAAUCUCCAAGUGUUCUCCUAUGGGGUGGUGCUUGCUCUUCUACCAUGUUGCUUUCAUCCUGAAAAAUAUUAGUGGGAAAGAAGAAGUGGUUGAGGAUUUCUAUCUAGUGUUUCCUUGUCUCUCUUUUGUCUUUGUCUUUUUAUUUCUUUUGUCUGCCCUUUCAAUCUCUGCUUCAAAUAAUAAUUGGUCUUUGAGAAUUUGACCUCUCAAUAUCAUAUAAGACAGCUAAUUCAAGGGUAGCACAAGGAUUCACUAGCAACAAAAAAAUAAUUUUUUAUUUAUUUUAAAAUUGAAAAAAUAAACAUAAUAAAAUAAAUGCAAAUUAAAUCUAAAAAUAAAAUAAAACCAAAUCUAAACAAAUAUGCAAUUAAUUAAUAUAAACCAAAAUAAAACAAUACACAAAAUAAACAAAAAAUAAAAACAGUUAGAAUAUUCACAACAUUUAGGAAUUUGUACUAAAAAAUUAAUUAUUCCCCAAACAUGAAGCAAAAAAUUCGAUGACUUUUCUACGACAAGUGUACCGUGUUGUCAGAAGUAAUAAGUUGUUCCUAAGGACGGAUAUUGAUAAGUGCCUAAUUUCAGUAAUAUUUCAUAUUAAAGUAUAGGCACUUAUGAAUAUUAAUUUUUAAAAUAUAUAUAAAAGAAUCCCUAAUUUAUUAAUUUAUAUCUUUUUACAUAUUUUAUUAUCUUCAUUUGAAUAAUAACAUUUUAUUCCCCAAUUUGGUGUUAAUUUCAGGCUUUUAAGGAAGAAUGGAGAUGACUGGUCUAAAGAAAAUAAGAUAAGCUAAAAGGAGAAAGCUUGAAGGCCCGAAACGCACAAAAAGAGCAAAAAUUCCAACUCAGCAGCGGAGUUUCUUGCUCAAGCGAGCUCAUUCUCGCUUGAGCGGGAAUGCUCCCGUGAAGUUUUCGGAAAUCAACGUCUUUCUCGCUUGAGCGAGCUACAUCUCACUUGAGCGAAAAUGCGUCAGACAAAUUGGGUCAUUUUAUGUUUUCAUCAUUAAGCCCAUCAGCGUGACGCAGGAAGUCACCUAACCCUGGUAAAUUAGGUUAAAUAGGGGGCUUAAAGCUCAACCCUAGUGUGCUAGAUUGAGAGGAAAACAUCAUUAAGUGACUUGUAACCCAAUUGGGAGAAUAAAAGAUAUUAGAAGAUGCGUGGCUAAUUCUACCCUUUGGGAUUGGGUGUAAUAUGCUCAAACUCUUAUGUAUUGAGGUGAUAUUUAAAUAUGAUAGAAUAUUAUGUUUUUGAUUGAUUAUUGCUAUUGUUGUUUUGUUUCUAACUCUUGAUCUAGAAUCUUAAAUCUGGCUUAAAAGUAUUUUUAGGGUUCUGACCUAAACAACAAUAUUUAACAUAUUUGAGUGCUAGAAAUAGACUUGAAAUUUUAAUUACUAUCAACGUUUGAGUGCGACUCUAAGUUGUUUUUAUAAAUAUGUGAGAAAUCUUCUAAAUUAUCAAGGAGUCUUCUAAAUAUCGAUUCUUUGCAUAUUUAUAAAAGUUUCUUAUCAUUAAGAUUAGAUGUUGAUAGCAAUUAACAUUAAUUCAGCACAUCCCACACCUACCUCUAACCCAUGAAUUUUUAAGAUGAGAAAGUUUAGAGGUGCAAAAGGCCUUCGUGUUGCUCAAGAGGAACACCAAUAUACAUCCCUUACAACUGUUCUGUUUCUUUUUGGGUGGGUCUGCUUAUAUAGUAGAUGCUCUUUAUUUUUGAAGUCUUUUAUGUUGCUGCCACAAUCAUUAUUAUUUUACAUGAUUCUGUUGCAUAAUGAGGUAUAAUGGUUGUUGAAUUGUGGUACAUUGGGGGUUCUUAAGCAAUGGUUUCUUUAGGCCAUUUGUGUAGGCUUUUAUGGGUUGGUGGAAGGGUUAUUCAUUUUAUGAAUGAGUUUUGUUUUCUUCUUAAGAAACCAAUAUUCAUUGUUGGUUUGGGUUUCUUGGAUUCUGUAUACGGGUUGAGAUACUCCUAAAGUAUCUCUUUUAUUUUGUUUUAUUCUUUGCUGAUAAAAAAACAUUUCAAAUAUAUUCCUAGCAUGCAAAUAUGUUAAGCAUUAUCAUUUGGGUCAGAAACUUAAAAGUACUUUCUAGUCAAAUCUAAGCUUUGAGAUCAUGGCGAACAAGCCUUACAAAGAAAAUGACAAUACCAAUAACUUGUUGACUCCACCAACUCAUCCUUCAACUUUUUAGUCAAGGUCGUGGAAGACUAUUGUUGACCCUCGUCAUCACUAAUGUGCGACUCUUCAUCUCGGUGCAGAUCACAUCUAAGGAGGUCGCAUCCAAGACCUCCUCCUCGGCUAGGGAGAGAGCCAUUUGCACCUCUUUGUCAAACCUUAGUCCAUCUCCCAACAUAGGAAGGGGAGUGUGGGUAUUGGCCCCAAAAGGUGAGGGUCGUGACCUUUGAGGGGACUUCUCGAGUCGUGCCCUCUUAUUUUUCUUAAAAAGAUUAUUGUUAGCCAGAGGAGGAGAUAAAUCAACAAUUGGUGUCAAAGACCCCCGACAACAAGUUCAAUGCUUUCUCCCGGUCUUUGGCUGACCUAUCGGCGAAGCUGCUUCAAAACCAAGUCCAUAUCAAGGGUAGUCUAGUCCAUUUUUUCUGCAAGCAAAAUACAAAUUCUGUGAAGUUAAAACCAAAAUAUAAGAGAGUACAUUUACAACAAAUCAUUAAAGUCCACCCAACGAUGAGGUGCAAUAUUAUAAAUGGAAAGCAUUUUCUGGGUCGGUAACCUCUUCGACAACUGAUAGAAAACAUAAAUUUCUCGAUCCUCGGUGGUCAUCGAUGACCUCGGCUAAGAUUUAUAACGUGUGGGAAAAUAGGUCCUAUAAAAAAAGAAUCUUGGUUUCCCCUCUGCAUAAAAGAAUAACAAUCUCCCUUUCGACUCAAUAAAUCUUUUUAAAGAAUCUCCCCUUAAUGUUUUUAUAAGUGGAGGAGAAGGGGGUGAAAAGAAUAUUGCCCGACCGACACGUUAGAGAAACCCAACCCGCAAGAUCAAUUGGAUGAGCGUUAUAGUAAAGAAAGAAAAGAUCGAGGACUCAACUUAAGCCGAAACAUAUCACAUAUUAGGCGAAACACUUGCAGUGUGGCCCAAGAGUUCAAGUGAAGUUGUGUAAGAGCAACAUUUAGAAUUCCAAGCACCCCAUUGUGAAUUCAUCGAAUGUAAGACAUGGAGGUCCGAGAAAAAACAAUAAUAUAAAUAAAUAGAAGUCGAAACUAGACUAUUCCCGACCGUGGCAAAUGUUUUAAAAAACAUCACAACUUCUGAUAAAGAUAAUACUCGUAUCGGCAUUUGACUUAAUCAUAGGAACACUUGACAGGAAUGAAUUCAUGGUAUAACUCCACCUAUAUUGAGUAAAAUACUCAAUCACCUUACUAUUUACCCACUCCUACCUUACCUGGUAUGAAUGGUUCCCCUUAUUAGCCAGGUCGGCUUCCCCACUAGGAGUGUCUGGCCGACAAGAACCAAACCGAGAGCCCCUAUGCCCACCAACGACACCGAAUGAUCCCCUAGAAGAAGACAAAUAGUCAUAAGAACUAGAUGAAAACAUCAAUAACCUUUUGUGGAAAACGGUCGACACCUCACCACAAUUCGGUAUUCAGGAUUCAAAGCAAAAUAAAAGUUAAAAAAAAAAAGCCCCUAUUUAUAGAACCCUAGCCUCGAUCAUACCAAGCGUCGCGAAUCGUUAGAUCUAUUCAUAUCUAAUGGUCCUUUUUAGAAAAAUGCAAAUCCUAAGACUAAUAAAAAAUUUCACGCCAAAAGAUCUUUCUGGAACUCUGCAGGACAUGUCCCAUCCAAGCUUGUGUAACAGAGAAGUCAUACAACCUUGUUCCAUCCAACCUUGAUUCAUGGAGCAACCAUAUCAAGACCCUUCGGGUAAUAUCCUUGAGCAGUGUACCGUUAGGGGCCGAACAGUCGUAGGACACACCAGUACACCGACCCCCAUAAGAAGAAUGUGUUAAAAGUAAAGUAUAUUAACACAAGUUAAACCAUACAAAAAAUUAGGUAACACAAUCUUAAUCAUGAUACAUAUGAUAAUCUCGAUGUAGUAGUAAAAUGAUUAAUCAAGACCAUAUAAAUAGGCACAACAAACAAACAAAAUACGUCAUUAUUACAUCAUUUAUUACAUCAUUAUACUCAGUGUUACUUUAGUCUUAGAUAACCUUUUGCAGGUCUACUCUCAAUCUAGAACUGAAACCCAAACACGAGUAUGAAGGAAGAAAUGCAAUUACAAUCGAAACAAAUAAUAACUUGUUCGAUCAUUAUUGAUACGGUAAUGAAAUGUUAAAAUAAUAACAAAUUACUAUUAUUACUCAUAAUCAUAGGUUAUAAUAUUUCUUGGAUCAAGCGCACAGUCCUCUUUGAGGUGGUUUUGUCUCCAUAUGGGACUCUUGUAUCUUACAAUUCCACGUUCUAAAUGCAUGUUGUGAAAGCAUUAAAAGUCAAGUUCAAGCGCACUCUAAUUGUAAAUUCCAUGUGGCCAAUUUUUUUACUCGUUUUAAAUAUAAAAUUAAGUAGAAACGAUUUCAUUCGUCAUAAAUUAUUACAAAAUAUUAUAAUAAAAAUUAUUACAUUCUUUUUAUUACGUUUAUCUUUUAUCUAAAAUUUAAUUUACACUAUUAUAAACAUACUCUAUUAUAUUCUCAUUGUAUUAGUAUUAAUUUUACACUUUUGCUAAGUUCUAUGUUAAUUUAUUUUAUAUUCGUUGAAAUCAAUUAAUACUGAUUUAUUGAAGAUAUGCACCAGAUAUAUUAUCUUAUAAAUUUUGAUGACAUCCCUAAAAAUCAGUUAACACUUAUUUAUUAAAAAUAUGUAUUAAAUAUGAUCAUGAAUCAAAUAACACAUUACUAAAAACUAUAAAUAAUUUUUUUUUUAAAAAAGGUAGACUAUUAUAUUUUUAAAGGAAGGUACACUAUUAUAUUUUUAAAUCAUAUACUUUACUUACUUAAUCAUUAAAAGAGUACUUGCUUGAUAAUUGAAAAACUUCCACGUGUAACUAUCAAUCCUCAGUCACAAAGCAUAUUAAAAAAAUUACGUGAAUAAUGUAUCUGCAAUUAAUUCCAAUUUUCACAGGUAAGAGAAACACUAUUUAACUACAAGUUUAUAAUUCAAAGAUUUGAAGUUGAAAUUGGAAAUUUUGAGAUUUUAAUAAUUACGAAUUAUGCACCAUAUGUUGCAUUUUCUAAAAGAUAUUGAAAAUUAAAAUCACUAAAAUCCUUUAUACAUUUUGUAUGCCACGAGGUAGAUUGAAUAAUAUAAUAAAAACAAAUCCCAGUAGAGAUGCUACUCUAUGUGAAGUCAAUAAUCGCUACAGUGUAUUGCUGGGAUCUCAUGCAUCCUUAACGUGUACCAAAUCUCUUUUAACUAUUUUUUAAUUCCAGUUCACACACUCUGUUUUGAAGUGUGCUUUUAUGCUCAUAACAAAAAAAAUUCAUUAAUAUCAUUGUUUAGCUCAAAUGCAAUUCAAUUAAUUAUUAAAUCAAUAAUUAAAAUCUUAAUAUCUAAUUACGUAUCAAUUUAAGAAUAAAUAGUUAGGUAAUAAUAAAAUCUGAGUACACCCAUACACCACUUUAUGAUUAUUUUAUAAACCUCAACUGCAACAUUAUUUGCCAUGCACCACUUUAUUAUUAUUUUAUAAACCUCAAAUUCAAUGUUAUUUGCCAGCUAAUUUGAACAGCCAUUUGUUCUUGACUUUUGUUUUUCCAGCUUACCAUUUUUAUGCCUAUAUAAACUCACAUGCAUGGAAAUCAAAAACAUAAAAAUCAAUAGCAGAAUAGCAGAAGCAAAGAUUCAAGUAUGGCUCUUUUGUAUUUGGCUUUGCUAAUUCUUCUGUUUCUGUUCUCUCUUAAGCUCUUCUUCAAAACAAGAACAUUCAGAAACCUUCCUCCAGGGCCAUUCUCUUACCCUAUAGUCGGAAAUCUCUUGCAACUCAAACAGCCUUUCCACCGCACUUUCACUCAAUUGUCGCAAAAAUACGGCCAAGUCUUCUCUCUCUGGUUCGGUUCCCGUCUCGUGGUGGUCGUUUGUUC